AUACGUAGGUGGCAAGCGUUGUCCGGAAUUAUUGGGCGUAAAGCGCGCGCAGGCGGUCCUUUAAGUCUGAUGUGAAAGCCCACGGCUCAACCGUGGAGGGUCAUUGGAAACUGGGGGACCUGAGUGCAGAAGAGGAAAGUGGAAUUCCAAGUGUAGCGGUGAAAUGCGUAGAGAUUUGGAGGAACACCAGUGGCGAAGGCGACUUUCUGGUCUGUAACUGACGCUGAGGCGCGAAAGCGUGGGGAGCAAACAGGAUUAGAUACCCUGGUAGUCCACGCCGUAAACGAUGAGUGCUAAGUGUUAGGGGGUUUCCGCCCCUUAGUGCUGCAGCUAACGCAUUAAGCACUCCGCCUGGGGAGUACGGUCGCAAGACUGAAACUCAAAGGAAUUGACGGGG
rnacentral:rRNA from 1 species